rnacentral:rRNA from 1 species
GACUAUGGCCCUACCACCUUGAACUCAUCUGAUCUUAGAAUCUAAGCAAGGUCAGACUUGGUUAGUACUCGGAUGACAAACCACCAAAGAAUACUAGGUUCUAUAUGCU